rnacentral:rRNA from 1 species
UACGUAGGGGGCGAGCGUUGUCCGGAUUUAUUGGGCGUAAAGAGCUCGUAGGCGGUUUGGUUAGUCGGGUGUGAAAUCUCCAGGCUCAACCUGGAGGGGUCAUUCGAUACUGCCAUGACUAGAGUUCGGUAGGGGUGUGUGGAAUUCCUGGUGGAGCGGUGAAAUGCGCAGAGAUCAGGAGGAACACCCGUAGCGAAGGCGGCACACUGGGCCGAUACUGACGCUGAGGAGCGAAAGCGUGGGGAGCGAACAGG